rnacentral:Y_RNA from 1 species
GGCUGGUCAGAAGGCAGUGAGUUAUCUCAAGUGACUGUUCACAGUCAGUUACAGAUUGAAAUCCUCGUUCUACUCUUUUCCCCCUUCUCAUUACUGCACUUGACUAGUCUAAA